rnacentral:piRNA from 1 species
UGCUUCAAUUUCAAUUUUUCC